UACGUAGGGGGCAAGCGUUGUCCGGAUUUAUUGGGCGUAAAGAGCGUGUAGGCGGCCAUUCAGGUCAGCUGUGAAAACUCGAGGCUCAACCUCGAGACGUCGGUUGAAACCGUUUGGCUAGAGUCCGGAAGAGGAGAGUGGAAGUUCCCGGUGUAGCGGUGAAGUGCGCAGAUAUCGGGAAGAACACCCGUGGCGAAGGCGGCUCUCUGGGACGGUACUGACGCUGAGACGGCGAAAGCGUGGGGAGCGAACAGG
rnacentral:rRNA from 1 species